rnacentral:rRNA from 1 species
UACGGGGGGAGCAAGCGUUGUUCGGAUUUACUGGGCGUAAAGGGCGCGUAGGCGGCGCAACAAGUCACUUGUGAAAUCUCCGGGCUUAACCCGGAGCGGCCAAGUGAUACUGUCGUGCUAGAGUGCGGAAGGGGCUACUGGAAUUCUCGGUGUAGCGGUGAAAUGCGUAGAUAUCAGGAGGAACACCAAUGGCGAAGGCAGCUCGCUGGGACGUGACUGACGCUGAGACGCGAAAGCGUGGGGAGCAAACAGG